UACAGAGGUCCCAAGCGUUGUUCGGAUUCAUUGGGCGUAAAGGGUGCGUAGGCGGUGCCGCAAGUCAGAUGUGAAAUCUCGGGGCUUAACCCCGAAACUGCAUUUGAUAUUGCGGUGCUCGAGGACUGGAGAGGAGACUGGAAUUCACGGUGUAGCAGUGAAAUGCGUAGAUAUCGUGAGGAAGGCCAGUGGCGAAGGCGAGUCUCUGGACAGUUCCUGACGCUGAGGCACGAAGGCCAGGGGAGCAAACGGG
rnacentral:rRNA from 1 species